rnacentral:lncRNA from 1 species
AGAUAGAAUAGAAGUUAAUUAAUGAUGAAGUAGAAUAAAUAAGGUAGAAGUUCAUUGAUGAUGAGGUAGAAGAGAUGAUUGAAACUCAUUCUUCAUCUGAUGAUCUGAUUGCGAAGAUUCCAGGACAUUGUUGAAACACUCAAAGAAAAGAAGUUAAAAAAAGAAUACCAGAAGAUAACAGAAGAAUAG